rnacentral:tRNA from 1 species
YYCUAAACCGAAGGCCUUCAAAGCCUUAGACAAGAGUUCAACCCUCUUAGUUUCUG